rnacentral:lncRNA from 10 species
UUCUGUCUGCUUCUUUGAUGGGAAUGACAUCAGAGCCCCUUGAUCCAGCCACACCCGAAGCUAAAUCUGCCCCUGGACUUUCCAAUUUGUGAGCCAGUAAAAAUCCCUUGUUCUAACUUACUCAGUUUGAGUCAUUUCCAACCAAAAGGUUAAUGCAGAAAUCAAACUGACAAUAAGAAGCCUGGAACACAUGCCUUAGCGCCAUUUGUGACUCACAGCAUGAGCUUAAGCUCUUCCAGUCCUGCACAGACAACAAGUCGGGCUACAAUCAUGAGAAACACCUUAGAGCAAAAGCUGGAAAUAUUUGGGUAGAAAAGAACAUUUGUUUAUCUUCCAGCUCAUACACAGUGGAUGUGCAAUCCUAAUCUCUUUUUAAAGGGCAGUUCUUUGGAACAGGAUGCUGCUUAAAUACCAGGUCCACACAGCUGCCAAGAGGAACAUCAUCCAGUUAUUAUUUUUCAACAGCAGUGAAGUGGAUGGAUGGCUCCACAUUUUCUCAUUGCCAUAAAACAAAGCAGAAGAAUAUAAGCCAUUUUAGCUGUAAGUGUGUGCUCAGCCCCUGGGAACAAUGAGAAGGAAAUAGAGUACAGGAAAUGAAGCUAACAUUGCCAAGCACCUACUGUCUGUUUCAGAAUGAGUGAUGGGUGUUUUACACUCAUUUUUGGGAUUGGAGUUCUGGGUUCAAGCCCAAGGUCUGCCACUGACUGGCUACAGGACCUUGAACAAGCCACUUAUUUGCUCUGGCCUUUCACGUUAAAUGGGGUAGUUAGUCUCUGUCAUUAUCAGAGAGCCAUGCUUGGUAACUGGAGUCUUUUUGAAGGCUUUUUUUUUUUUUUUUUUUUUGGGCAGAGUCUCGCUGUGCCACCCAGGCUGGAGUGCAGUGGCACAAUCUCCACUGCAACCUCCAUCUCCCAGGUUCAAGCGAUUCUCCUGCCUCAGCCCCCUGAGUAGCUGGGACUACAAAUGCGCACCACCACGCCCAGCUAAUUUUUGUACUUUUAGUAGAGACAGGAUUUCGCCAUGUUGGCCAGGCUGGUCUCCAACUCCUGACCUUAGGUUAUCCGCCCGCCUCAGCCUCCCAAAGUGUUGGGAUUAUAGACAUGAGCCACUGCACCCAGCCUGUUUGAAAUCAUUUUUAAAGAAAAAGUAAGAAAGCAUUAGGAAUGUCAGCUGAUUAGAGUCCCAGGUGAUGAAUUUGCCAAGGAAGAGAUGAUCUGCUCUCGUCGCUUCAUCUACAAUAUUUGGGCUGAUGAAUACAGCCUUCCCAUUGCUGUUGAGCUGUGUGACAGUGCUCGUAGGAGCUCCUGCCCUGACAUCAAACAGCCCGGCUUCCCGUCCAGGCUCCAGCACUACCACACUGUGUGUCCUCCAUCAAGCCUCCAUUUUCUCAUCAGCAAGAUGGUGAAAAUACAAGGCUAUUAGGAGAAUCAACAUAGAUACUAUAUUUUGAGAGCUGUGCACAGUGCCAAGCACGUAGGUGCUCAAUAAUUGCUAGUAGUUAAUAUUUUGAGAGCCAAAUCUGAUGCUUUUAUUGGAAUGUGCUAGAUCUGAAAAUGCUAGAAGCAGGGAUGGAAGGCAAGUUUCAUCUGCAUGGGGACCCAACUUCGGAGAUCCUGUUGCUCUAGGGACCCUGAAUAAUGAGGCAAGUAUUUUGCCUUCUUUGGGCCACCAUUUCCUUAGCCAUAGGUGAGGGGUAGGAAGGGAGUAAGGGAAGCGGAGUUUAGAAAUAAUCUGUCCCUGAGUCCCAUUCAGCAUGGACUGCCUAUGAUUCUAAAAUAAUUGGAAAUUUUUAAAAAAAAAUUUAAAUAAUAAAAACAAAAAGUUUCUGGAAUCAAAGAAAUAGCCCCUGACUACACAGCUUGAAAUGGACCCUACAGGCAAGGAGAGGAGGGCCCAAGGCACAGGACUGAGCUGCAGUUUUGUAGUUUGCAAAGAAAGCAACCCUCUGCUUUGCUUUAGAUGGCCUCCGAGGCCAGUUCUUUGGGCAGAAUCCAGAAACAGGAAGAAGUUGCAGAAGAGAAGAGGCAAAGAAACAAAGAAAGGACUUGUCUGAGAAAAGCAGCCAAGAGCAGCAUACAUGUCAGGGACAGUGAGGGUGCUGAGCGGCAGAUACUACCCUCGUGGGUAUCCUCCCUCAGUUGAGGCUCUUCCCCUCUCCCAGUUUUUCUUACCCCCAGUGGCACAGAUUGCCUUUGGAGAGAGCUGACCUGGGAGAAAGAAAGUCCACUUUUGAGUUUCUAAAGCCUAGGCCAGGGCACGAGAGAGAUAUGAAAGCAUAAGUGGUGAAUAUCCUCCCAUCUGGAGGGAAGAAAAGAGAGUAAGAGGGAAAACAGAGAAAAUGUGGAUGCCAGAGCACCCUGGACCCUGCAUUACCCCAAGAGACUUUGGGGGAUUCCAGCCCAUGGAUGACCUGAGAGAUGCAGGAGGAUCCCCAGAGUCCCAUGUGUCUGGCAUGACCCAGCAGCAGGAGAAAUGUCUGAGCUAGAAGUGGAUAGGCCUGGGUUGGCCUCACAGGGUUCCCUGUGCCAAGCAUGAAGUCAGAACAUAGAGUGUCCUCAGGCACCCAGAGGGCCCCAUGAUGGUGUGGGAGCUGUGGAUGCUUCCCACGAGCCCAGGCAUCUGUCACACAUGUGUUUCCUGCCAUUGCACAGAUCGUGCCAUAGGUGGUGGCAAGAAGACGCCUUAUAAUUGGGGCCAAGGAGCACAUAGCAGUCACAUAUACAGCCUGUAGACAAAAGUCAAGAUGGAGAGAGAGAUCUUCAGGAAAUGAGGCCAGUAUGGCUCAUGGAUGACACAAGGCCCAGUGGUGUCCAGUCCUGGCACUUGUUCAUAAUCACAGACAUUUCAUUUAUACAACCCUAUGAUCCAUUGGGUGUGGCCAAGCUGGAAACAAAGAAACUGAAAUGACCACACAUGGCCACAGGAUUUCUCUCCUCCGGUGGCCACAGCCCAAUGGAGGAGACAGACCUCCCGAGAAGGGUGGGCAUGGGGUGCCAUGAUAGACGUAGCAAGCAGGAACAGGGGUUGGGGUCACCAUGUGAAUGAGAGAGAAACAGGCACUGAAGCUGCAGGAGCCUGGGGGACAAUUGUGCAUGCCAGGCACCUAGAAAGCAGGAAGAGGGGAGAUAGCAGAUGAAAACACACACACUAAUCCAAUGCCCAUCUCCAUAAAAAGCAGUGGCUCAUGGGACAACCAAGAGAGCUCCUCUGACUUCCUGCCCAAGCAAGAGCAUAACUAGGUGAUGGGGGCAGAGGCUCUGAGGAGCCCAGGCAAGAGCUCAGCACAGCUUUGCUAAGGUUCGCCUCUGGAAGCAGCCACCUCUGGGAAUUUCCCUGGUAUCUGUUUGGGCAGAGACUGAAACUGAACUGAACCAUUAAUAGCCUGUGAUCAUCCUCCCAAACUCCCCCCAAACCUUAAUUCUUUUGCACUAAACCAAAGAUGGUUUUGUUUUAACAUCUGAUUCACCGGACUCAACUAAAAAAUGAAAGAGCUGAACCAAAGGAGCAGAAUAAUCCCAGCACCUGCAGCAAACUGUUCAUCCAUCCAGCUCCAUUCCCUGGGCAGGGCAGGUUCCCCUAAGGCAUUGUUCUAUUGGGAAGAAGGCCCAUGAGAGGCCAGAGCAGGGAGAGGCAUGCAGUGGCAUGAUCCAGAGGGAAAAGGAAGAGAAAGUAACCAUCCGAGUACUCCCCACUCUUGGAAGAGCCAAUAGACAAAAUCCAGAUGAGCUUAUGAGUAAUGGAUGUCCUAUGUGCCACAGGGUGUUACAGGCAGAUGCUGAGGGAGGGGUGCAGCCAACGUAAGGAGAAAUGCAAAUAAAGAUCAGGCUUGGGGGCAGGGGUCUGAUGAUGCCCCCAAAACGCCAGUCAGCAGGGACUCUGACAUUUAAAGAGGCACCAUAACCACUUGAGCCAAAUCUCUUUUCACUCAGUGUGCCCAAUGUGAUAUUUAAACAGAAAUGUCGCCCUCACUGCAUUUAUGCCCCUCCAACCCUUCAGAAUUGGGUCUGCUGUCCAAAUGGCUCAUGUGUGUCCACCUUCCAGAGCCAAAGUGAAAAUUUCUGAUAAAAACAGAAAAAGGUAAAUUUCGGCUUUAUGAACUCAGGAUUAAAUCAGGCCAGGCCUUUCUGUGAAAUGUGAACCCUGUAAUGCUGAGAAAUUGAAAAAGCCCUUGCUUUUUGAAGCUCUGGCCUAUCUUUAAUUGAACCUUUUGCAUGAAAUCAUGAACCAUGGCCGAUGCCAUGAAACAACUCAAGGAAGAAACCAGCAAAGCAACUGGCUUUGAACUGAGACCUGCGAACUGAGAACCGCCUACAGUCCGUAAAAGACCAGCCUGGGCCCUUGGGUUGCCCUCAUCCUGUUUUAGAAUCGUCUCUUUUCUUUGAAAACUGGGGAAAGGGAGGAAGUGUGGUUACUGAGGAUUAAGCUUGAGUCGACCUUGAGUUAGGGGUCAAGUUACCACAUCAUGGUUUGGGUCAGAACUGAUUAUUUUUGGCAAAUGUACACCAAAAAAUCACAUUUUUUAAGUGGAUAAAAGUGCACCAUAGGAAAAAAUUCAUUUUCGGAGACAUCAGCACAUUUCAGUGAGUACUGUGGCUAAAUUUGAAAGAAUGUGAACUUUUGAGAUUACUAAUAUACAUCCAAAUGUGUGUUAGGGAAUGUACAUUGAGCUCUGUUAUUCCUAAUCUUUUACACAGGCCCUCUCCACCAAAUUUCAUAGACACAUUAGAAAAAGGAAAGCCACUCACACUCCUGCUUGCAUAGAAGUCCCCUGCCUUUUGCCAAUGAGCUUUUCUGCUCCCAGAUCAACUUGAUUAAGUAAGAUAUAAUUUUCUGCUUCUCUCUCCUGGCAUAGGCACGGCUGUAUAAUGUCUUCGUUCUCCCCAGUGAGAUGCCUGUAACUGACCUAACUUAAAGAGAAAUAUGUUCUGCCUCCCAUCUUCAGAGGAAGAAACCCUCUGAGACCUACAUGUGAUUUGUCUUGUUGCCUGCAAAAGUUUGCUCUUUAUGGUGACAGCUAGGCUUGCUUGGGAGAUUUGAACAGAUACAGCUUCUUGGUGCAGCUGCCUCUGCUCUCCUAAUUUGAUCCUGAGCCUAACAAUUACAGUUAUCAAGGAGCCAGCUCUUCCAAAAGGUUUCCUGCAAAUCACGUCAUCAUCUGUGAUGUGUACAAUUUGGUCUCUUGGAUUAUGCAAUGAUUCUGGGUGUUGUUUUAAAGCCUGACUUUAAUAAAAAGCCCGAGAAAAGAACAAAUGCAAAUGGGUGUUGACGUGGACUGCCCAUCCUCUGGCACCAGCAGUAGAAUACAGACAGUACCUACAGCAACACAAUAGAUAAUGCAUCUGCAAUUACCGGGAUACUUAACAUGUGUUGUAUAACUCAUCGGAGAAAAUAUAGAUCUUUUGUGUGUGUUUCAGAUGUAGAAGGAAUGAAUGAAUCACAGGUCAUAAACUCAGGCGUGGGACAAGUAUCAGAUCUUUGUAUUUUCUUCCAAGCAGCUUAAUUUCAAUCGUGACUACUCCAUGCCAACAGGUAGGCAGGAAAUUCCACCUCAUUGAUUCUCUGGGUGCCCCUGUUCCCACCCAGAGGGUCUUUCUCUAGCACCAAGGUGCUGGGAGGGCUCCCUGUCCGCCUGUAAUUCCCCCAACUCCCCAGCAUGUACGAGCUAUGAGUCACUAGGCCACACUGGUUGCCAUGGAGACACUCAUCGUCCUAGUCUACUGGUCCCUCCAGGUUGAGGCUGCGGCUUCCACACCAGGCAUGGAGGCUUCAGGAUCUUGGUGAGGCUGGGAGGCACCUCACCCUUCCCCACUGGCAUCCUCACCAACCCCCUGAGCCUGGCCAGAGAGCAGGGUGCUGCCUCCCCUAGCUGUCAGAAUACUUUUUGGCUCCCAGUCCAGGGCAAUAAACUUUUCUUCAAAGAUUCUCUCGCUCUUCAUGUCCCUCCCAGAGUUGCUCCCUCUCCACCAAACCCAUCCACCUCUGUGAUUGUAAGCUUUGGCAAACCAAGGCCAGAAAGGGAGCUGUCCAGUGGGCAGCUCCAACUCUCCACCCUGCCUGGAGCCUCCCAGCUCGGAGCUUGUGGCCUACCAGAGACAUGGAAAGGGCGGAAAUAAAGAAAAGCAAUGCCCAAAUAGAUACAAAUGUGUCCCAUCCCUGCAAAUGUCACAAAGUCAUGAAUAAUUACCACGAGGGACACUUCCCCAGCUUUUUUGCUGCUCCAUCACCAGCAGCCCUCUAGUGAAUCCCAGCACUUCCUUCACUUUCUCUCCUAGUUCCAUUCCCAAGCCAAUAUUUCUUUGUACAUUCCAGCUGCCUUCUGAAUCCCUUACUUCCUCUUCAGUGUUCCCACGCAGGUGACAGCAGGAAGAAGCAUGGUCUGGUUGAUCCGAUGGUACAUGAAGCUAAUGGCCAUGAGCCUCCCAUGUGGUCCUGGGGCUGCACAGAAUGUGCUGGUGGCCACAGGAAGGCUCAGAGACCAUGAUGUUGAGGAAGGGGCUCAAGGGGGCUUACAGACAUGGCAGAGACACAUGAGAUGGAAUAAAAAUGCCACAUAUGUCAGUCAAAUUGAAUAGCUAAGGGAGAGCGAGGUGUUGUUUUGAAAGCGUAUAUCCACGUGGCUUAAAGGCGUGUCACUCGUUUUGUUUUGUUUUGUUUUGUUUUGUUUUGUUUUGU